rnacentral:rRNA from 1 species
UACGUAGGUGGCUAGCGUUGUCCGGAUUUACUGGGCGUAAAGAGCGCGCAGGCGGUCGUUCAAGUCGAGUGUGAAAGCCCCCGGCUCAACUGGGGAGGGUCACGCGAUACUGAUCGACUCGAAGGCAGGAGAGGGAAGUGGAAUUCCCGGUGUAGUGGUGAAAUGCGUAGAUAUCGGGAGGAACACCAGUGGCGAAGGCGACUUCCUGGCCUGUUCUUGACGCUGAGGCGCGAAAGCUAGGGGAGCAAACGGG